rnacentral:lncRNA from 1 species
CAGACAGCUGCUACACAGCACGCAGGCCACUUGUGCCUAUUUAAAGAAUGAUCAGCUUCAGUUUUGAACGUUAUUAUUUAUUUACCACUGCAGUGUAGAACUCUGUGUGCUUAUUUUAGCAGCACAGCCAAUUAGAGAUCAGCAACUUGCCUAUCCGUAGAUGUAAAUAACCUCAAAUAUGUUCAUUAACAAAAGAACUCUCACUUAUUUUUUAUUAAAAAAAAAUUCAAAUCUCCCACUUUUUAUUUUGUUUGUUUGUUUAAAUAUUAAACCACUGUUAUAUCCUCGUAAGAAAAAAAUAAUGAAAGAAGAAACAUACUGUAGCUUUAAAACAUUCUUGACUAUAAGCCAAAGAGAACCUUGUUGAAACAAAUUGUUCCAUCUUUGCAAAAAAAAAAACAGUUAGGAGGUGGAAAACUGGAGCUGUGCUCUGGUGACUGGUGUCUGCAACAGGCUAAUGCUCAUCGGUGCCAUCUCUAAAUCCCAGCAGGUGGAUAUGCACAAUUGCAGCACCUUCCAGUAGACAGCUGGCACCUCUGUUAAAUAUUUUGUGGCAAUACGUGAAUGCAGAGAUGACCACAGGAAUGCACUACGCAUGCUGUGCUGAGGUCUGAUUUAACUGUCUGAAGCCAAGAGAAGCUCCACAGAGACUGCUGAGGACACGCGCUGCAUAAAGCAGCUUUUGACUACUCCAUGACUCAGAGGAAAACCCAGGACACUCGUUAUAAAAUGUGGGAAUAAUGCUGCAUUGGCAAUAGAAGUGACACGAAGACCUAUUACUUCAAGAACCCCUUCAUCUCACAUUACCGUGAUUCCAAAUGGAUAUCAUUUUAAUCUAUUGGACAGUGCAAACUAUAGCCGAUAUCGAAAGAACAAACAUUAUUGCAACUUGUUUGAAAAGACUUUCUUUAGAGGAAGACAAGAGGCAAACAAAGAACAGAAGAAAAAAAUCCUAUUGGAGAGUACAGAGGGUACAGACUUGUGUGAACAGUGAACAUCUUGUGCCUAACCAAAGGGACAGAUGCUCCCCUGAGACUUCAUUCAAUCUGAGCUGCCAUGGACAACAUCCCAGAAUCACAGCAAAAACAUAG